CCGGCGUGCCGCGCGCGGGCGCGGCCAUGUUGCGGGGCCAUGUUCCACAGCAGCACGCAGCGCCGGCACUGGACCUUCCACGGCGAGGAGGAGCUGGCGCGGCGCCGCGCCGAGGGGAACCGCCGGGCCCGAGCCAGGGCGGCGGCCAGCGGCAAGGUGCCGCAGGGCGACCCGGUGCUGCUGGAGCCGCACGAGGAGCUGGCGCUAUGCAAGUACUACGAGAAGAGACUGCUGGACUUCUGCGGCGCAUUCAAGCCCGCCAUGCCGCGGUCCGUUGUGGGAACAGCUUCUAUGUAUUUCAAACGUUUUUACCUCAAUAACUCGGUGAUGGAGUAUCAUCCUCGGAUAAUAAUGUUAACAUGUGCGUUUUUGGCCUGUAAAGUAGAUGAAUUUAAUGUAUCCAGUGCACAGUUCGUUGGCAACCUUCGAGAAAGUCCUCUUGGACAGGAGAAAGCUCUUGAACAAAUACUGGAAUAUGAACUGCUGCUUAUUCAGCAACUGAACUUCCAUCUCAUCAUCCACAAUCCAUACAGGCCAUUUGAGGGAUUUCUAAUUGAUAUCAAGACUCGCUAUCCAGUGCUGGAAAAUCCUGAAGUUUUGAGGAAAGCAGCAGAUGACUUUCUUAACCGAGUGGCUCUGACAGAUGCAUAUCUGCUAUUCACUCCCUCACAGAUCGCUCUUACUGCCAUAUUAUCUAGUGGCUCAAGAGCAGGAAUUAAUAUGGAAAGCUAUUUAUCAGAAAGUCUUAUGCUGAAAGAAAACAGAUCAAGCUUAUCCAGAUUACUAGAUGACAUGAAAUCCAUGAAAAAUCUCAUCAAAAAAUAUGAACUGCCAAGGCCUGAAGAGGUUGCUGCUCUAAAACAGAAGUUAGAGAGGUGUCACAGCUUGGACCUUGCAUUUAAUACAAAUCCGAAGAAGAGGAAAGGUUAUGAAGAUGAUGAAUAUGUCACAAAGAAAUGUAAAAUGGAUGAGGAAGAGUGGACUGAUGAUGAUCUUGUGGAUUCAGCAUUACUUUGAAGGCAGAUGGACUCCUACCACUGCAGGCACUACUGUCUGGCAUCAGGUGUGACCCUACCUGCCACAGGUUCCUUAUUGUCCAACCCUACAAGAUUUCCUUCAAGAAAUCUGGCCCUCAGUUUUGGUUCAGAAACAGUUUGAUGUGGCUGCAGUGUACUGUUAGAGCACCAGCUGAUUUAUUUCCUUUCCAUACACCCUGUUAGAGUUCUAUAAUACAUACACCUGUAUGCAGCUUUGGGUGUUCCCCAGUUUCAUUCUCUUUGUUGCAUUUUGUGUGUAAAAGGUGAAUUAGGUAGACAGCUCUUUUUUCCAUUUUGUAUUUUUACCAUGUUGUGUUGCCUAUACCAAAGCAACUAAAUCCACAAAAUAAUCCCUUUUAUACACUCUGUUAAAGAUCUAAGUAGGACAGAUGGAAAGGUCAAUUACUUACUCCUCUGAGAUGCACUUGAAUAGAGGCUUGGCAGGGUUAUGGGACAAUCCUAAGACUUCUCUAGUAACAAGGUCUUGCAAACAGGUGUAUUGUCACUAUGGAAAAGCAUGACAUAUGUCUGCCCAGUGCCAUACAUGUGAUAUUUGGGAGCUCUCACCUUCAUGAAGCUGUUCCAGCUGGAGACCAGGGCAACACAGCAAAAGCCACUGUGUCUGAUUUUACAUGACAGUGAUUUGGCAGUUCUGAUAGACAGGAAAAACAGCGUAGGUGUUAUAAAGGUUUAUGGCAGUGUUCAUAUGAUAAAAUUACUUACAUGGUUAUCUCAUUAAUCUUUAACACUUUAAAAGUCACUGAAUCUUUAAUUCCCUAUUAUUAUAUCAAUGCCUAGAAAGUAGCACAUGAUGAUGAUGAAAUGCACUCAAAAUCAACAGCAUAUUUUAUUUUUCAAAUUUUUAAACGCUUCAUGGCAAAAGGGACACCUUUCACUUGACAGGGUUUCCCUAAGUCUCAUCCAGCCUGACCUUCAACACUUCCUGGGAUUGGGGCUUAUCUCGCUUCUCUGGCACUCUGCCAAUGUGUCACCCCACUCAAGGGAAUAAUUUCUUUUUAUUAAAUCUCAGUCUACCCAAGGUGUUUCAAUAUCUACUUUCUCACCCAAUGAUGUACAAAUUAAGGCAGAGGGACAGGGUGUUGUCAUCUGAGGACUCGCGCUUAAAAAGUGACACAGUGUGAACACUUCAAAGUAUGCCGCCAGUGCCAGACACUAAAAAAUUUCCACAGCAGCCAGAGUUAGCCAGUUUCCAUACCGCUAGAUAUGUGCAGCUUGAUUUAUUUCAAAAGCUUUCCACUUAUAAAAAUAAUCUUUAUGCUAGACUUACAGUACAAAAAAGACCAAACAAUACCUAUUUUAUAAAAUGGUUUAAUGAAUGCAUGCAUGUCUGAUAUAAUGAUCAAUAAAAUUACUGAAUUCAAAUUAUUUACUGUUGUAAACAUUUUACAAAAGCAUUGUGAUUUAUCUGGAUAUACAGUUCUUGAUGGAAGAAGUAUUCAGACUGAAUCAGUGGCACAUCAAAAAACUAAAGCUGACAAGACCCAUUCUGCA